rfam:Cyberlindnera fabianii strain 65 BON22_Sc03, whole genome shotgun sequence.
UCCCUGUUAGCUCAGUCGGUAGAGCGUUCGGCUUUUACGAUCUAACAGGAAACCGAAAUGUCAGGGGUUCGAGCCCCCUAUGGGGAG